CGAACACAACUAGGUACUCUGAGAUCCCAGAAUCGUACAGUCUUGUCUUGGGAGCCAGACGCUAUCAUCCAUCCACUCCAUGUAUAAAGUGCUAAAAUGUGACCUGUGUAGGAAGACUGCGAAGAUCUGCCUAAGUCAAAUACCAGUUUUCGAGGAACAGCAGAGGAGGAGCUAAACAGCAUAUAAGCAAACAAGUUAUAAAGAGACUAAACACACACACACACAAAA